AUUGAACGCUGGCGGCAUGCCUUACACAUGCAAGUCGAACGGCAGCACGGAGCUUGCUCUGGUGGCGAGUGGCGAACGGGUGAGUAAUAUAUCGGAACGUACCCUAGAGUGGGGGAUAACGUAGCGAAAGUUACGCUAAUACCGCAUACGAUCUAAGGAUGAAAGUGGGGGAUCGCAAGACCUCAUGCUCGUGGAGCGGCCGAUAUCUGAUUAGCUAGUUGGUAGGGUAAAAGCCUACCAAGGCAUCGAUCAGUAGCUGGUCUGAGAGGACGACCAGCCACACUGGAACUGAGACACGGUCCAGACUCCUACGGGAGGCAGCAGUGGGGAAUUUUGGACAAUGGGCGAAAGCCUGAUCCAGCAAUGCCGCGUGAGUGAAGAAGGCCUUCGGGUUGUAAAGCUCUUUUGUCAGGGAAGAAACGGUGAAAGCUAAUAUCUUUUGCUAAUGACGGUACCUGAAGAAUAAGCACCGGCUAACUACGUGCCAGCAGCCGCGGUAAUACGUAGGGUGCAAGCGUUAAUCGGAAUUACUGGGCGUAAAGCGUGCGCAGGCGGUUUUGUAAGUCUGAUGUGAAAUCCCCGGGCUCAACCUGGGAAUUGCAUUGGAGACUGCAAGGCUAGAAUCUGGCAGAGGGGGGUAGAAUUCCACGUGUAGCAGUGAAAUGCGUAGAUAUGUGGAGGAACACCGAUGGCGAAGGCAGCCCCCUGGGUCAAGAUUGACGCUCAUGCACGAAAGCGUGGGGAGCAAACAGGAUUAGAUACCCUGGUAGUCCACGCCCUAAACGAUGUCUACUAGUUGUCGGGUCUUAAUUGACUUGGUAACGCAGCUAACGCGUGAAGUAGACCGCCUGGGGAGUACGGUCGCAAGAUUAAAACUCAAAGGAAUUGACGGGGACCCGCACAAGCGGUGGAUGAUGUGGAUUAAAUCGAUGCAACGCGAAAAACCUUACCUACCCUUGACAUGGCUGGAAUCCUUGAGAGAUCAGGGAGUGCUCGAAAGAGAACCAGUACACAGGUGCUGCAUGGCUGUCGUCAGCUCGUGUCGUGAGAUGUUGGGUUAAGUCCCGCAACGAGCGCAACCCUUGUCAUUAGUUGCUACGAAAGGGCACUCUAAUGAGACUGCCGGUGACAAACCGGAGGAAGGUGGGGAUGACGUCAAGUCCUCAUGGCCCUUAUGGGUAGGGCUUCACACGUCAUACAAUGGUACAUACAGAGCGCCGCCAACCCGCGAGGGGGAGCUAAUCGCAGAAAGUGUAUCGUAGUCCGGAUUGUAGUCUGCAACUCGACUGCAUGAAGUUGGAAUCGCUAGUAAUCGCGGAUCAGCAUGUCGCGGUGAAUACGUUCCCGGGUCU
rnacentral:rRNA from 1 species